rnacentral:rRNA from 1 species
GACGAACGCUGGCGGCGUGCCUAAUACAUGCAAGUCGAGCGAAUCUUUGGGAGCUUGCUCCCAAAAGUUAGCGGCGGACGGGUGAGUAACACGUGGGCAACCUGCCUAUAAGACUGGGAUAACUUCGGGAAACCGGAGCUAAUACCGGAUAAUUCAUGUCUACUCAUGUAGAUAUGCUGAAAGACGGUUUACGCUGUCACUUAUAGAUGGGCCCGCGGCGCAUUAGUUAGUUGGUGAGGUAACGGCUCACGAAGGCGACGAUGCGUAGCCGACCUGAGGGGUGGAUGGGCCAAACUGGGACUGAGACACGGCCCAGACUCCUACGGGAGGCAGCAGUAGGGAAUCUUCCGCAAUGGACGAAAGUCUGACGGAGCAACGCCGCGUGAGUGAUGAAGGUUUUCGGAUCGUAAACCUCUGUUGUUAGGGAAGAACAAGUACUAGAGUAACUGCUAGUACCUUGACGGUACCUAACCAGAAAGCCACGGCUAACUACGUGCCAGCCGCCGCCGUAACAC